rnacentral:rRNA from 1 species
UGGGGAAUUUUGCACAAUGGGCGCAAGCCUGAUGCAGCGACGCCGCGUGAGGGAUGAAGGCCUUCGGGUUGUAAACCUUUUUCGCUCAUGGUCAAGCCGCAGCUUUGGGCUGUGGUGAGGGUAGUGGGUAAAGAAGCGCCGGCUAACUACGUGCCAGCAGCCGCGGUAAUACGUAGGGCGCGAGCGUUGUCCGGAAUUAUUGGGCGUAAAGGGCUUGUAGGCGGUUGGCCGCGUCUGCCGUGAAAUCCUCUGGCUUAACUGGGGGCGUUCGGUGGGUACGGGUUGACUUGAGUGCGGUAGGGGAGACUGGAAUUCCUGGUGUAGCGGUGGAAUGCGCAGAUAUCAGGAGGAACGCCGGUGGCGAAGGCGGGUCUCUGGGCCGUUACUGACGCUGAGGAGCGAAAGCGUGGGGAGCGAACAGG